GGGUUCUUUUAAAGGUCAGACUGGUUCUAAUGGGGUUCUACACUGAGGUUCUACACUGGGGUUCUUUUAAAGGUCAGACUGGUUCUAAUGGGGUUCUACUGAGUUCUAAUGGAGUCAUAUUGGUUUUAUUUGUUAUUAUUAAUAGUGUCUGUUCUACGGUGGUUCUAAUGGGUCCAAUAGGGUUCUUUUAAAAGGUCCCACUGAUGUCCACCAGAGUUCUACUGGUUUAAACUGGUUCUAAUGGUUCACUGUGUCACACAGGUUCUACUGAGGUUCUACUGAGGUUCUACAGUUCAGAGCGCUUUCAGCCGGCGGUCUCUGGAGGCGGGGCCUGCUGGUGAAAGCGCUCUGAUUGGUGGAAGCAGAGACGAGGCGGGAGGCGUCAGAUCGGCCACAGGCUUUUAUUGCAAAGUGGCUUCCUGUGAUCUCAGAAACAACGUUCCACUUUAAGGCUCCAGAUGUCGUCGUGUUGUUGUUGUUGUUGUUGUUGUUGUUGUUGUCGUCGGGUCGUCUCUCACUGCUGGGGUCAAAUCUGCUUCCUGUAGUGUUUCCUUACAAAAUAAAAGUGCACUCUAACUAACUGGUGUGACGGUUACAUUCAAACUGAAAGUAAGGCGACAAACAGCUGGAGUGGCGGCGAGUCCGACAGGAAUGAAACGGUAAACAAACGUUAGCUCGGGGACACAAACACAGAACCUGUAGUGUAACACAAAGUGCUGGGUUAGAUCUUCUUCUUCUCCUCUCAAUGCAUAGUCUAACAAUACGUCUGCCUGGUUCGAACACACUGAAGAAGAAACAACAGUUUACAAUAAUAAAUAAAGUCAUAUGGAAAAAGGAGGCGGAGCUUCGCGGCGCGGCGCUCGCCUCCCGCACGCGUGGCUGCUUCCUUCACAUCGACUUUUUGGCAAAACUGUGGCUGCGAGAGAGACAACCGUCCCGGUAGUGAGUCAGUGUCUGUGUUUCCUUCUGCCAGGCGAGCAGACUGCGGCAUCAGACGGGCGGCGUUUGCAUAUCGGUACGUUAAUGAGACACAACAAGAAUCCUUCAGGGCGGGAAAAAGCAAAAGGAACAGAAAGAGAACCGAGAGGCGUAAAGCGGCGAGCUCCUUCGGGGCGGGAAAAAGCAAAAGGAACAGAAAGAGAACCGAGAGGCGUAAAGCGGCGAGCUCCUUCGGGGCGGGGGACAGAGAGCGAGCUGCUGGGUGAGGCGGUGUUCGGGGGUUC
rnacentral:lncRNA from 15 species